GACGAACGCUGGCGGCGUGCUUAACACAUGCAAGUCGAACGGAAAGGCCCUGCUUUUGUGGGGUGCUCGAGUGGCGAACGGGUGAGUAACACGUGAGUAACCUGCCCUUGACUUUGGGAUAACUUCAGGAAACUGGGGCUAAUACCGCAUAGGAGCUCCUGCUGCUGGGUGGGGGUUGGAAAGUUUCGGCGGUUGGGGAUGUACUCGCGGCUUAUCAGCUUGUUGGUGAGGUAGUGGCUUACCAAGGCUUGGACGGGUAGCCGACCUGAGCGGGUCACCGGCCACGACAGGACUGGGAUACGGCACAGACUACAACCGGACGCAACGGUGGAGAAUAUUGCACAAGGGGCUGAAGGCUGAUGUGACAACGCCGCGUGGGGUAUGAGAGGCAUCGGGUUGUGAACCACUGUCGCCUUAGACGAGACGUUAGUGACGGUAAUGGGUAAAGAAGCACCGGCUAACUACGUG
rnacentral:rRNA from 1 species